UUCUAUCUCUCUCCGCCGCACCCUUCUCUCCAAAAUCCAAAUCCCUAACCUCCGCCGCCUCCGUGUCUCGCCUGCUCCAAGCAACCAACGGACCAAGCCGCCUUCGUGGUGCGACGACGCAGCAGACUCGAAUGCCGAAUUCCGCCUCUCCCCCGCCCUCUCCUGCGACAGAUCCAGUAGACUCGAACGCAGAAAACAUUGUGCUUGUGUCUCGGUCUAGAUCUACAAUUUGGGUCUUGGUCGUCCUCCUUCCACAACGGCACUGAAAUUGCAAGAUCUACUUCUCUGACCAGGUUCUUGAUCUUUAUUUCUUAUUUUUCUCACCAUAGUCUUUUAUACUACUGGUUUUCUUGGUGCUGCCUGCCUCUUUUGCAGUUUCGAGAGUGGAACUACCAUAGGAGAGUAUGCUAGUGAAGAUGAAGAUGCUGGUGGGAAUGGAUGUGGAAGACGAUGAAGGAGCGGCUGGUCAGCAGCAGGAUUCGUCUUUGGCUUUCAUCGAUGACUUCAAUCACAAUUGCACUCUCUCCCCGAAACAGAACUGCUAGCACUUAAAGCCCAUGGUAAAGGACACAAAAUACUAUGAAAUAUUGGGGGUUGGGGUGGGUGCCACGCCCGCAGGCGGUUCAUCAUCCAAAAUGUUGGCAUGCCCAAACGGAGUAGUACAAUGAUAAGGAACCAGGAGGGGUUCAUAGCAAUGGUCCUGUUCUUGAUGAAGUUCUACUGUCUGACCCAGAGUUAUCUGAUGCAAUUGAGAAUGAAAAGGUGGUGAACAAAACAAUUCAAAUUUAUAAUAUUGACCGUGCCACUUGUGGACCGCAUGGCUGGUGUUAUUGCGAAGAAAUACGGUGACACUGGUUUUGCUGGGUAGCUUAACAUAACAUUCAUAGGGAGUGGUGGGCAGUCAUUUGGUUGUUUUUUGACACCUGGAAAGAACAUCUGUCUUGUAGGAGAAGCUAAUGACUAUGUGGGGAAGUCCAGGGUGCUGCAGUGAUGGGCAGCACGGAUGCUAGGAGGGAUGCGGACCUAGCAUAUGCCACGGCAGUUAUGGGAGGCUGAUGGUUGAAGAAGAAUUGGUUCGGGAUGAACCAAUUGUCAGGGUGCUGCAGGUGAUGGGCAGCACGGAUGCUAGGAGGGAUGCGAACCUGGCAUAAGCCACGGCAGUUAAUGGAGGUCGAUGGUUGAAGAAGAAUUGGUUCGGGAUGAACCAAUUGUGUGCACCAGGAAAACAGGAAAACACUGUGUUGGGCAGCGCUAAUGAUGGUUUGUGGUGCGAGAGGCAGGAGCACUGUGGUGUUAGGCAGUGUUCAUAACGGUGUGGGGUGUGAGUGGCAGGUGCGCUGUGGUGUUUGACCUGUUUUUGGCUUCGUGGAAGCUUAGUUAGUGCAACAGAUUGAACGGUGGACUAAUUUGGCACAACGUGGUUUGAAGAUUGAUCAAGUGGUUCGAGACAUGGGUGUUGAUCUCGAAGGUUAUGACUCUAGAUGUGAAGUCCUAUGGCUCAUGUGAUAUAUUUGUAAUGUUAUGGAAUAUAAAUAUAAUAUUUGGAAUCUCUAUAGAUUAGGCAGUCUUAGGGAUUUAGGUAGGUAAGGCAUAUGGAAACUUGUUUCCUAUUUGUAGUCUUCUAGCACCUAUUUAUAGGGCUCUAUAUUCUCUU